rnacentral:rRNA from 1 species
CGUGUAGGCGGGCCUUCAAGUCGGGUGUAGAAAACUGGCAGCUUAACUGCCAGCCUGCACUCGAUACUGUUGGUCUUGAGUUCGGAAGAGGAAAGUGGAAUUCCAGGUGUAGCGGUGGAAUGCGUAGAUAUCUGGAAGAACACCAGUAGCGAAAGCGACUUUCUGGUCCGAAACUGACGCUAAAGCGCGAAGGCUUGGGGAGCAAACA